GGGGAUUUAGCUCAGUGGUAGAGCGCUUGCCUAGGAAGCGCAAGCCUGGGUUCGAUCCCCAGCUCCG
rnacentral:tRNA from 1 species